AAAUCAGAAUCUCUGAUGUGAGAGGCAGGUGUCACCUGUUGGGUUCUAAAGCUCCCCAGCUGAUACCAAUGCGCAGCCGAGGCUGAGAACCACUGCCCAUGCGCUCAGACCUGAGCGGGCAGUUUAAAAACAGAUGGUGGGUGACAUCCUCAGACUAGAAGGCAGCCACAGGGCUGCAGUGAGAGAUUACGGCUCUAACACAUUUCCUGGUAUCCCUACCACCACCGCUUGGCCGAGAUCACACCCUGGGGGGGGAACCCUGGUCCUGAAGCGAAGUCGCCUUCCCCAGGCGGAGAACCAAUGCUCUCAACUAGCUGUGAGACACUGAGUGAUGCUAUUCCGUCCCCGGGUCCCAGGCUCCUCAUCUGUAACACGAAGAGCUCAGCUAUGACAAGCGCAUAUUCCCCUGUGCGUUCGCUGUAACUAAUUCAGAGCGACCUGGUGACGCGUGUCGAAGACGUUGCUGAGAUCGCCCCUGAGAUCGGUUGGAAAGGAUACCACGAGUGAUUGGCGAGGUCUGCCACCAACAGAUGAGAGCGAGAAAGAGGGGUAUGCGUGGUGCAAAUUUCCACUCUUGGACUAGAUGAGCCUGUGGUCCCUUCCAGCUCUGAUAUUCUAGGUGGUGGCGCCCCAUCUGCCGUCUCCCCGCCCCCACCACCAGCCUAUUAUUCAUCAUUUAUUCUGGAAACUUCUCCCCGGGGGCGCGCGGGAGCCAGGCCCGCGAGGAUGAGGUGCAGGCCGCGCAAGGGUGACUUCCCCACGGACGCUUUCUUCAAAGAACUGGGCCUACAGGCCAGACGUCGAGGCACAACAUGCUGAGGCCGAGGACAAAGGCGUCCGGGAAGAUCUGUACUCGUCCCAGCGGGGGCCCCGGGAAGCCUUCCCCGAAGACGCAGGGUGUUCUGACCAGCUCUUCCUGCUGACCCUGGCUCCUUUGGGGAAGCCAUCUACUGGACAUCUUCCAAAGCAGUCCCUGAGAAAGUGAUGGUGGUAACCUCCAUAGACUCUGGCUUGGAACCAGCCCCCCUCGAACAGGUUGCCUCCCCAUUUGGGAGUGUGGUUACAGAGCUCAGCAGGCAUGUCGGGCCAAAACGGAUUCAUCCAUAAGCGUGGCCACAGCGCACAGAGAAAAGCUCUUUCCCUGCCCUGGACCCCCGGCCCCAGCCAAACAGCUUCAGCUUAUCUCGGAGAAGAUUAGAGGGCCUUUGGCUCAUCGCUGGCUUUCUUUCGAUGCCAAAAGGCCUGGCCGAUCAAAGUUGACAUGACUUCACAUAGCUAGUGGCUUAUCUCCGGUCUGUCCUGAGACUGCUGACCUCUCAAUUAAGGUUUUAACAGCUUCUCUUUGGGGAGGAAAGGCUCGUGGUAUGGAGGACAGUUUACAAUGCUGGACUGCCGGUCCUGACCCCAUGGGCCGGGCAGCUUGUCGUGACUGCUUACCAUGCAAUUAGGCGAUGUUUUUCAGUUCCCUUAUAAAGAGAAAAAAUGUUAUUUUUACUGAAAAUAUCUCCAAGUGUCCGAAAGCAUUCUAUUUUUCACGUCUAAUGAGGUGACAGUGGAAUUUGGUAGAUGACUAGGACUUUAUCAAGCUUCAAUGCUAACACGCCUCUCAAGUCCAGAGCCUCACGGCACAUCGAAGGAGACAUUGGUUAUCCGAAGCAUUGGAUGAUUGAUGCAUUUCGGUGGAUUCCUCUGCUUUCUCAUGGACACCAGCCCCUCAGCCCCUGUAUAGUUUCAGCCUCAUUGGAGUUUUGUUGGAAAUACGGCCUGCUAGUUUGAAAGGCUUAAGUUGAUUCGAUUGAAAUCGAAAGCCGGAGAAAAAUAUUUUGUGCCUUGGUACCGAAAAUUUUCCUGAAAGAUGUAAACUUGUCAGGUGAAUGUUGUAAACUGGUGAGUUAUGGGGAAAAUAAAGAUACAGAUUUUUUUUUUUUUUACUAGCAGAUAAAUUCCUUUUAUUGGAUGUUUGUGCCAGUCAUCCUGGAAGAUACCAGAGACUCCUGUAACGUGUCUCUCUGCUUAAGAAGCUAACACAGUAGUUAGGAAGCUAGACUAUUGCAACAGACCAGGGUCCAGGCUCUGGGGCAGACAGACCUGGGCGGGAAUGUCAGCUUUGCUCUUUGUGAUUUCCACCCCCCUCCCCAACCUCUCCGAAAGAGUCCCUGUUUCUUUGUCUGGAAAAUUGGAAGAAGCAUCCUCAGUGCUCCUCAGGGUUAUGACCGGUAUCAAAUGCUGUCCGGUGCGUGGCACAUGCUGAAUGUUGUAUGCAUAGCUAGUUGUUUCAUUGGGAUUUUGUAAUCUCUGCAAAGUUUGUUGUGAGAUUGGGGGUAGGAUGUACUGAAAGGCGAGGAAGCAGGAAGCCCUUGUUGGAGCAGAAGCAGACAGGAGUGCAAGCUGAGCAUUGAGGGGACAGCUGGUAAACCCUCAGGAGCCCCUUGUUGGCCAGCUGAUUUUACGUGUGCCUUCUCUCCCCGUCUUUCGUAUACCUUGUCCGCCAACCGCAACCGGCUUGCUGAGAAUUCCUGAGAAAGCCACAAAGUUAGUUUUCCGUAUCUGUUACAGAGGAGGGUCAGUUGUCAUUUCCAUCAUAAAAUCCAUGCUUCAUGGAUCUAAAGCUUGGAAUUUAGAAUGAUAUGGGGCUUAAACUCUGCUUAACACUUUUGAUUUAGAACCUCAGAGAACGAGCAUUCUUAGCCCACAUGGCUGAUAAUACCACCGCAGGCUCUUUGAAAGUGAACUCUGUAUCUGGCUUUGCACGGCUUUUUCAACACACAUUCUUUAAACAAAGAGCCAUAAAAAACCAACACUUUUAAAAGGCACAUAAUCGGCCCCAUUUGCGUUCUUGGGGGAAGAGUGACUGGAGACUUGAGAGGUUCCAUUUUCAUGCCUUUUAAUCCUGACUUUCUGAAAUGACUACCUUAGAGGGGCGCCUGGGUGGCGCAGUCGGUUAAGCGUCCGACUUC